AGAGUUUGAUCAUGGCUCAGAUUGAACGCUGGCGGUAGGCUUAACACAUGCAAGUCGUGCGAGAAAGUACCUUCGGGUGCGAGUAGAGCGGCGGACGGGUGAGUAACGCGUAGGAAUCUACCUAGUAGAAGGGGAUAGCCCGGGGAAACUCGGAUUAAUACCGUAUACCUCCUUAGGGAGAAAGAGGGCUUAGCUUUGAUGCUCUCGCUAUUAGAUGAGCCUGCGUAAGAUUAGCUUGUUGGUGAGGUAAUGGCUCACCAAGGCGACGAUCUUUAGCUGGUCUGAGAGGACGAUCAGCCACAUUGGGACUGAGACACGGCCCAGACUCCUACGGGAGGCAGCAGUGGGGAAUAUUGGACAAUGGGCGCAAGCCUGAUCCAGCCAUACCGCGUGUGUGAAGAAGGCUUUCGGGUUGUAAAGCACUUUAAGUAAGGAGAAAAAGAUUGUAGUUAAUACCUGCAAUCCGUGAUGUUACUUACAGAAUAAGGACCGGCUAAUUCCGUGCCAGCAGCCGCGGUAAUACGGAAGGUCCAAGCGUUAAUCGGAAUUACUGGGCGUAAAGCGCGCGUAGGUGGUUUUUUAAGUUGGAUGUGAAAGCCCUGGGCUCAACCUAGGAACUGCAUCCAAAACUAGAUGACUAGAGUACGAAAGAGGGAAGUAGAAUUCACAGUGUAGCGGUGGAAUGCGUAGAUAUUGUGAAGAAUACCAAUGGCGAAGGCAGCUUCCUGGUUCUGUACUGACACUGAGGUGCGAAAGCGUGGGUAGCGAACAGGAUUAGAUACCCUGGUAGUCCACGCCGUAAACGAUGACAACUAGCUGUUGGGAGACAAGAUCUCU
rnacentral:rRNA from 1 species